UUCGGUGUGUGUCUCGCUGCUCCGCCGCCGCUGUGCCCGCUAUGCAUAUCCUGUGUGCGCUCUAGCUCCGUCGGGGCCAUGAUGAGUCAGCAACUAACCAUGCAUUAUACAUCACC